rnacentral:rRNA from 1 species
AAAGAUCAGGGAGGGUUGGGGUUUACUAAUUUGGAGGUUAAGAACAUUAGCUUGUUAUGUAAGUGGUUGUGGAGAUUAGAAAAUGAGGAAUCAUCUCUGGGCAACUCUCAUUUCUGGAAUGGGUUGUUGAGUGUAAAGGAUGUUUUCUAUACUUGUUGUCAAAGGGUUGUGGGUAAUGGAUGUAAGACGAGAUUCUGGGAGGACGCCUGGUUGGGGAGCAAGCCGCUUUGCCAAAAAAAUCAUUUGUAUAAUUUAACUUUUUGUCAGCAUGCUACUGUAGCUAAGGUCUUUAACCAAGAUUUUGAUUGCAUUAGGUUUAGGAGAUGUCUCUAUGGAGAAACCCUUGAUAUGUGGAAUAAAUUACUUGAUAUGUGCAGUCAGGUUACUCUUUCGGGAGGACCUGACAAAGUUAAAUGGUUACUAACUAAAUCGGGAUCCUUCUCGGUUAAGUCGCUUUAUCAUUACAUUAUUGCUAGAGUCGUUGUCUUUCCAUUUAAAAUUCUUUGGAGGGUGAGAAUAGCUAGAGUCGUUGUGAUUAAGGGAAGGAUCCUAACUAAGGAUAACUUUUCUAAGAGAGGGUGGAAAGGAUCAAAUUUCUGUAAAUUUUGUGGGACUGCUGAAAGCAUCGAUCACUUGUGA